rnacentral:rRNA from 1 species
AGUGAACGCUGGCGGUAGGCCUAACACAUGCAAGUCGAACGGCAGCACAGUAAGAGCUUGCUCUUACGGGUGGCGAGUGGCGGACGGGUGAGGAAUACAUCGGAAUCUACUUUUUCGUGGGGGAUAACGUAGGGAAACUUACGCUAAUACCGCAUACGACCUACGGGUGAAAGCAGGGGAUCUUCGGACCUUGCGCGAUUGAAUGAGCCGAUGUCGGAUUAGCUAGUUGGCGGGGUAAAGGCCCACCAAGGUGACGAUCCGUAGCUGGUCUGAGAGGAUGAUCAGCCACACUGGAACUGAGACACGGUCCAGACUCCUACGGGAGGCAGCAGUGGGGAAUAUUGGACAAUGGGCGCAAGCCUGAUCCAGCCAUACCGCGUGGGUGAAGAAGGCCUUCGGGUUGUAAAGCCCUUUUGUUGGGAAAGAAAAGCAGCAGGUUAAUACCCCGCUGUUCUGACGGUACCCAAAGAAUAAGCACCGGCUAACUUUGUG